rnacentral:rRNA from 1 species
UACGAAGGGGCUAGCGUUGCUCGGAAUCACUGGGCGUAAAGGGUGCGUAGGCGGGUCUUUAAGUCAGGGGUGAAAUCCUGGAGCUCAACUCCAGAACUGCCUUUGAUACUGAGGAUCUUGAGUUCGGGAGAGGUGAGUGGAACUGCGAGUGUAGAGGUAGAAUGACGUAGAUAUCAUUUGGAACGCCAUGGUGAAACAGCUCGCUGGGGUGCACUGACACUGAGACACGAAAGCCAGGGAGCGAACGGG